rnacentral:rRNA from 1 species
AGAACGAACGCUGGCGGCAGGCCUAACACAUGCAAGUCGAACGCCGUAGCAAUACGGAGUGGCAGACGGGUGAGUAACGCGUGGGAACAUACCCUUCGGUUCGGAAUAACUCAGGGAAACUUGAGCUAAUACCGGAUACGUCCGAGGUUUUAAUCGACCUUGGAGAAAGAUUUAUCGCCGGAGGAUUGGCCCGCGUCUGAUUAGCUUGUUGGUGAGGUAAUGGCUCACCAAGGCGACGAUCAGUAGCUGGUCUGAGAGGAUGAUCAGCCACAUUGGGACUGAGACACGGCCCAAACUCCUACGGGAGGCAGCAGUGGGGAAUAUUGGACAAUGGGCGAAAGCCUGAUCCAGCCAUGCCGCGUGAGUGAUGAAGGCCUUAGGGUUGUAAAGCUCUUUUACCCGGGAAGAUAAUGACGGUACCGGAGAAUAAGCCCGGCUAACUUCGUGCCAGCAGCCGC